UCCCUAGCAGUCCAGUGGUUAGGACUCUGUGCUUCUACUGCAGGGGCCCGGGUUCGAUCCCUGGUUGGGGAA